AAUUGUACAUCCGAGAGUAAUAAUACAGGUCACGAGAAUGUCCGGCCCACAGAUCAUAGUAUUCUGACAAAUUUGGCCCCCGGAAAAAUAUAGUUGAAUAGCCCUGCUAUAUACCCUGGUGAAUCGUCCAUGGAUUAU